CAGUGCAAAGUGAAACUCAAGGAGAAUGAGAGAGGGUCGUGAAAGGAGAAGGAGAAAAGCAACAGCUUCGACAAGGUUGAGGGAGGAAGGAAGAGUCCGAAAGCAUCGCCAUGGUGACUCACCUGCAGCACGGCUGCAUCGCCCCACGGCAUGACAUCAUCAGGUUCAGCAUGACAUCAUCAGGUUCAGCAUGACAUCAUCAGUCACGGCAGGUCGACUGGAAAUAGACGGCAUUCCUGGUCGGUGAGCUUGACCUGACACAGGAAACCACGGCGGGUUCAGAGGAGGAUCGCUCGCCGCCAUCGUGACGGAGCGAAAAUCGCCGCCGCCGCCGCCGCGUGCCGAUCAGCCGUGUCAGACUCAACCAGAAGAUGGAUACCACAGGUCCAGCUGGGAGAGGGUUAGCUUAGCAUCAAUGCUAACAGCAGGCUCAGUGUGAAGGAAACAACACAGUCCAUCGAGAGGAUGAACUUCAAGACUCCUUUCAUCUUUAACACAGAAGAAGAUUCACUCCUUACACACUUACCUUUCACAAUAAAAGUCUU